AUACGUAGGUGGCAAGCGUUAUCCGGAUUUACUGGGUGUAAAGGGCGCGUAGGCGGGGAUGCAAGUCAGAUGUGAAAUCUAUGGGCUUAACCCAUAAACUGCAUUUGAAACUGUAUCUCUUGAGUGUCGGAGAGGUAGAUGGAAUUCCUUGUGUAGCGGUGAAAUGCGUAGAUAUAAGGAAGAACACCAGUGGCGAAGGCGAUCUACUGGACGAUAACUGACGCUGAGGCGCGAAAGCGUGGGGAGCAAACAGGAUUAGAUACCCUGGUAGUCCACGCUGUAAACGAUGAAUACUAGGUGUGGGGGGACUGACCCCUUCCGUGCCGCAGUUAACACAAUAAGUAUUCCACCUGGGGAGUACGGCCGCAAGGCUGAAACUCAAAUGAAUUGGCGGGG
rnacentral:rRNA from 1 species